ensembl:lncRNA
GGGAACAUAAAGCAUGCAACUGAACUACACAAACCAAGAACCUCAACAUGGCCUUCCGUAAGAUCAUGAUGUUUUUUUGACAACUGCCCAGUGGCCCUUACUUUUGACUACAAACAGCAUUGCUUGGAGUAGCUGUAAAAUUGUCCUGUAACCAGCCCUUGAUGGAUUCUACAAAUUCACAACUUUUUGAGUCUACAAUGGACCACUUUUCCCUUCAGUGUUUAAGAAAGGUGUUAUCACCCAAAUUAAGUGUGGUCUCAAUUUGGUAUUAAGUUUAUGUUCUCUAAACACAAUCAUCAAACUAGCUUGUUUCAUCCACUAUAUAGACUCUGCAACUACUUGGGACCAUGUUCCAUUUUCAAACCAGCCAAAAUAUGAAACUCUGAAUCUACCCCUGGAUUUCUCUAAAAAAGGACUGGAUGAUAUGAUUGAUCAUAUUGCAUUAUGGAUCAGUCCUUUUUAAAACGUAAUAUUCUUAUUAUGCUGUCUGAAGAUGUCUACGAAGAGCACGUUGGUAGCUGUAGAGUAGGAGGAUAGCAGUUUGCUUUGGUACUUAGUACUGUGUUUAAAGUGUUUGAACAUUUACAUUAACACGUAAAUCUCCAUUCCCUGGCUAGGAUGUCCUCAUGAAUUUUAAAGUUGCUCUCAUGUUUAUGUACUGCAGCAUACGCACCCCUCUCUCUCCUCUUCUCCAUUUCUACCCUAUUUCUUUCUAUCAGCCUUAUUUUCAGUUUCAGUUCCCCUCUGACUCCAACAGAGGGAGAGAAGCAGAGGGGAAACUGAAAGAUGUCAUGGGUAAUGGCGCUUUUUCCUCCUCAUGUUGAAAGUGGGUUUUAGAGGGAAUAUCAUCACUCUUGUUGUCACCCUGUCCCGGGAAAUGAAUGGGAAAGUCCACUGGAGACUUUCUGGGGAUUACCUGGAUACUGGAAAACAAAUUAGAUCAUUUUAAUAUCUUAAGUGAUUGCAGACAGUAAUGAUACCAAAUCGAGAGCAAACAGAUUUUUCUCAUGAGAAAAAGGCUCACACAUAGUCAUUUUUUAUGUUAUUUUUUUUUCUCCAUGUCUUUUAUAAAUAUUCAUUUUAUUCUAUUCAAAAUGACUCCACAAGGCCAUUUUAUUUAAAAUUAACGUCAUUGUUCUGCCCUUUUCUCCUCACUGCUAACCCAUUUCUGUGUUUC